AGGUGCCAACCCAUUGCAAGGUGCACACACACACACACACACACCUAUGGGCAAUUUGAUAAGUCCAAUUAAUCUCAGCAUAUUUUUGGACUGUCGGGUGUAAACCAGAGUACCUGAAGGAAACCCCACAACAACAUGAGGAUAACACACAAACACACGGAGCCAUGGCAGAGACUUAAACGCUGGUCCCAGAGGUGUGAGGCAACGGUGCUAACAACUACACCACUCUUCCAGGAUAGGCUCCAGACCCCCAUGACCCCGCAUAGGACAAGGGGAUGUAGAAAAUGAAUGCAUGAAGAUAAUAAGGGUCACAGGAGGGCCUGGGGCCUAUCCCAAGAGCACAGGAGAGUCUGGACCCUAUCCCAGGCAGCACAGGAGGACCUGAACCCUAUCCCAGGCAGCACAGGAGGGCCUGAACCCUAUCCCAGGAGCACAGGAGGGCCUGGACCCUAUCCCAGACUGCACAGGGCACAAAGUUGGACAUGAGGAAAACAUGCAAACUGCACGCAUACACACAAAAGGUGGGAUUCAAUCCCCUACCCCAGGAAACAUGAAGUCACUUUGCCACCCUAUUCAAAAUCCAUCCGAGUAAUAAACCAGUC